rnacentral:misc_RNA from 1 species
ACCUGUUCAUCAUUCCCUGCACUGCGUGUCUGCUGUCGUGUCGUCUUCGUCCUCCCUCCAUUUAUUGCCUGGUCCUCCGCCGUGUUUUCGCGGUGAGGUAAGAGAGGGGAAGGGAGGGGGCACACACAGCUCAGCGCGCGGUAUUGCAGGGUCCAGUGCACCCCCCUCCCCCACACUCCACUAUCCCUCUGCCAAUGCCGAGCCGCCUCCGCUGGCGACAGGGCUAGACACCUGCGACGUGGGGGAGGAGGUCAGAACGAUGUAUCGCUACGGAUGUCGGUGGCCAUGCUGUGGAUGGUGCGCCGCCGGAGAGACCUGCGACGGUGCACACGCUUGCACCAUACAUAUGAUGGGCAAGGCGCCAAUGUGACUCGAGCACAUCUCACCCGGCCCUCACCACCUACAGAGGCGGGGAGCCUGAGCCGCCCCCGAGGGGGAUGCACCAGGUGGCGGCCUGCGGAGCGGGGGUGGGUGGGUGGUGUUUGAGGCAGAGGCCAUGCUCUCAGACGACUGCGUUGGCACACUGCGCUGAAACGCCUGUGUCUACGGCGGCUUCGCAUCAUGCGGUGGGGAGCGUGUGACAGGGCUGCGCGGGGGAGGCGUUAGGGUGGAGUGGAGCUGGCCUCGUGAUCUGUGGCAGAGAGGCGGGUACACAUUAGCAGAAGGGAAUACGCGUUGUCUUCUGCCUUUUUUCUUUCCACGGACGUCGCCGUGUGCCCGCGCUCUCUCUCCCGCUCCCGCCGUCCCCCUUCGCCCAUCUCUGUGACACCGCCUCUUGAUUCUUGCGCGUAUGUGGGCAGGGAUGUGUGUGUGUGUGUGUGGAUGAGGACUGCUUUGUGCGCUCUUUUCUUGCUCAGUUCGCACGGCAUGUGUUUGCGCCCUUCUCCUUUGGAGCUGGCUCUCUCACCGUUGGCUGCUUCAGUGUGGCUGCGCACGCACACAUGCAUACGAAACUCUUGUGGGUAUGAUGGGAUAGUAUGUGUUUCUGUGUGGCGCUGUCCGACUUUUGGCGUGAAUUCUCUGUGAAUGUGGUUGAGAAUGUUUUGCCGUGAGUCUUGAUGUACACUGUGCUGUCGCGGACGAUGUUGUCCUGUGAGGAAAGGAAAAAUACGUCGCCAGGCGCACCUGCGGUGAAGGUGCGAAUUGCGAUGUGCGUGUGUGCGUAUAUAUCUCUAUCCCUUACCAUUCUCCUCCCCCUUCCCCUCACCCGUCGGCUCCUGCCCCUCGCCUUGCCACGCAG